rnacentral:rRNA from 2 species
UGAGGUUAAGUUAACAAGGGCGCAUGGUGAAUGCCUUGGCACUAGGAGCCGAUGAAGGACGGGACUAACACCGAUAUGCUUCGGGGAGCUGUACGUAAGCUAUGAUCCGGAGAUUUCCGAAUGGGGCAACCCAGCAGUUUUAAUCAACUGUUACCACUAGAUGAAUUCAUAGUCUAGUUGGAGGUAAACGCUGUGAACUGAAACAUCUCAUUAGCAGCAGGAAUAUAAAGAAAUUUCGAUUCCCUAAGUAGCGGCGAGCGAACGGGGAACAGCCCAAACCAAAGUGCUUGCACUUUGGGGUUGUAGGACUGAACAUUUGAGUUACCAAAGAACUUGAUAGUCGAAGGAUUUGGGAAAAUCCGCCAUAGAUGGUGAUAGCCCAGUAGAUUAAAUCAAAUUCUCUCAGUUCAGGAUCCUGAGUACGGCGGAACACGUGAAAUUCCGUCGGAAUCCGGGAGGACCAUCUCCCAAGGCUAAAUACUACCUAGUGACCGAUAGUGAACCAGUACCGUGAGGGAAAGGUGAAAAGCACCCCGGGAGGGGAGUGAAAUAGUUCCUGAAACCAUGUGCCUACAAUAAGUCAGAGCGCGUUAAUGCGUGAUGGCGUGCCUUUUGUAGAAUGAACCGGCGAGUUAUGAUCCCGUGCAAGGUUAAGACUAAAAAGUCGGAGCCGUAGCGAAAGCGAGUCUGAAAUGGGCGUUUUGAGUACGAGGUUAUAGACCCGAAACCAGGUGACCUAUCCAUGUCCAGGUUGAAGGUGCGGUAAAACGCACUGGAGGACCGAACCCGUGUAAGUUGAAAAUUGCUGGGAUGAGGUGUGGAUAGCGGUGAAAUUCCAAACGAACUUGGAGAUAGCUGGUUCUCUCCGAAAUAGCUUUAGGGCUAGCCUCGGAAUUAGGAUCAUGGAGGUAGAGCACUAUUUGGACUAGGGGCCCGUCUUGGGUUACUGAAUUCAGAUAAACUCCGAAUGCCAUUGAUUCAUAUCCGGGAGUCAGACGAUGAGUGAUAAGAUCCACCGUCGAAAGGGGAACAGCCCAGACCAUCAGUUAAGGUCCCUAAAUGUAUGCUAAGUGGAAAAGGAUGUGGAGUUGCAUAGACAACUAGGAUGUUGGCUCAGAAGCAGCCACCAUUUAAAGAGUGCGUAAUAGCUCACUAGUCGAGUGAUCCUGCGCCGAAAAUGUACCGGGGCUAAGCAUACUACCGAAACCAUGGAUGCGACCAUUAGGUCGCGUGAUAGGAGAGCGUUCUAAGGGCGGUGAAGCAAGAUCGUGAGGACUUGUGGAGCGCUUAGAAGUGAGAAUGCCGGUAUGAGUAGCGAAAGAUAGGUGAGAAUCCUAUCCACCGAAUGACUAAGGUUUCCUGGGGAAGGCUCGUCCUCCCAGGGUUAGUCGGGACCUAAGUCGAGGCCGAGAGGCGUAGACGAUGGAUAACAGGUUGAGAUUCCUGUACUAGUUAAGUGCGUUUGAGCAAUGGAGGGACGCAGGAGGCUAAGAUGUGCAUUCUGUUGGAUUAGAAUGUCCAAGCAGUAAGUCUUGUGAAGAGUCAAAUGCUUUUCACUUUAAGGACAAGCUGUGAUGGGGAGCGAAAUUUAGUAGCGAAGCGUCUGAUGUCACACUGCCGAGAAAAGCUUCUAGUGAGUACUUAACUACCCGUACCGCAAACCGACACAGGUAGUCGAGGAGAGAAUCCUAAGGUGAGCGAGUGAACUCUCGUUAAGGAACUCGGCAAAAUGACCCCGUAACUUCGGGAGAAGGGGUGCUGAUCGCAAGAUCAGCCGCAGUGAAUAGGCCCAGGCGACUGUUUAUCAAAAACACAGGUCUCUGCAAAAUCGUAAGAUGACGUAUAGGGGCUGACGCCUGCCCGGUGCUGGAAGGUUAAAAGGAUGGGUUAGCUUCGGCGAAGCUCAGAAUUGAAGCCCCAGUAAACGGCGGCCGUAACUAUAACGGUCCUAAGGUAGCGAAAUUCCUUGUCGGGUAAGUUCCGACCCGCACGAAAGGCGUAACGAUCUGGGCACUGUCUCAACGAGAGACUCGGUGAAAUUAUAUUGUCCGUGAAGAUGCGGACUACCCGCGACAGGACGGAAAGACCCCAUGGAGCUUUACUGUAGCUUGAUAUUGAGUGUUUGUACAGCUUGUACAGGAUAGGUAGGAGCCAUAGAAACCGGAACGCUAGUUUCGGUGGAGGCGUUGGUGGGAUACUACCCUCGCUGUAUGACCACUCUAACCCGCACCACUAAUCGUGGUGGGAGACAGUGUCAGGUGGGCAGUUUGACUGGGGCGGUCGCCUCCUAAAAAG